ACAGCAGCCGCCGCGGUAAUACGUAGGUGGCAAGCGUCGUCCGGAAUUAUUGGGCGUAAAGCGCGCGCAGGCGGAUCAGUCAGUCUGUCUUAAAAGUUCGGGGCUUAACCCCGUGAGGGGAUGGAAACUGCUGAUCUAGAGUAUCGGAGAGGAAAGUGGAAUUCCUAGUGUAGCGGUGAAAUGCGUAGAUAUUAGGAAGAACACCAGUGGCGAAGGCGACUUUCUGGACGAAAACUGACGCUGAGGCGCGAAAGCCAGGGGAGCGAACGGGAUUAGAGACCCCAGUAGUCCCUGUCUCUUAUACC
rnacentral:rRNA from 1 species